CCUACGGGAGGCAGCAGUGGGGAAUCUUGCGCAAUGGGCGAAAGCCUGACGCAGCCAUGCCGCGUGAAUGAUGAAGGUCUUAGGAUUGUAAAAUUCUUUCACCGGGGACGAUAAUGACGGUACCCGGAGAAGAAGCCCCGGCUAACUUCGUGCCAGCAGCCGCGGUAAUACGAAGGGGGCUAGCGUUGCUCGGAAUUACUGGGCGUAAAGGGAGCGUAGGCGGAUAGUUUAGUCAGAGGUGAAAGCCCAGGGCUCAACCUUGGAAUUGCCUUUGAUACUGGCUAUCUUGAGUAUGGGAGAGGUAUGCGGAACUCCGAGUGUAGAGGUGAAAUUCGUAGAUAUUCGGAAGAACACCAGUGGCGAAGGCGGCAUACUGGCCCAUUACUGACGCUGAGGCUCGAAAGCGUGGGGAGCAAACAGGAUUAGAUACCCUGGUAGUCCACGCUGUAAACGAUGAGUGCUAGUUGUCGGCAUGCAUGCAUGUCGGUGACGCAGCUAACGCAUUAAGCACCUCCGCCGUGGGAGGUACGGUCGCGAAGAAUUAAAACUAACGAAAGGAAAGUUAGACGGCGUGAGACGUGCCGAACGGACGACCGACGAACGGGGAAGGUUAGGG
rnacentral:rRNA from 1 species